rnacentral:rRNA from 1 species
AUACAACUUUCAGCAACGGAUCUCUUGGCUCUCGCAUCGAUGAAGAACGCAGCGAAAUGCGAUAAGUAAUGUGAAUUGCAGAAUUCAGUGAAUCAUCGAAUCUUUGAACGCACCUUGCACUCCUUGGUAUUCCGAGGAGUAUGCCUGUUUGAGUGUCAU